rnacentral:rRNA from 1 species
UACGAAGGGGGCUAGCGUUGUUCGGAAUUACUGGGCGUAAAGCGCACGUAGGCGGAUAUUUAAGUCAGGGGUGAAAUCCCAGAGCUCAACUCUGGAACUGCCUUUGAUACUGGGUAUCUUGAGUAUGGAAGAGGUAAGUGGAAUUGCGAGUGUAGAGGUGAAAUUCGUAGAUAUUCGGAGGAACACCAGUGGCGAAGGCGGCUCACUGGUCCAUUACUGACGCUGAGGUGCGAAAGCGUGGGGAGCAAACAGG